rnacentral:rRNA from 1 species
GACGAACGCUGGCUGCAUGCCUAAUACAUGCAAGUAGGACGCAGUUGCGAGCGGGUGAGUAACGCGUAGGUAACUACCUAUUAGAGGGGGAUAACUAUUGGAAACAAUAGCUAAUACCGCCUACUAGUAGGUGGACCUGCGUUGUAUUAGCUAGUAGGUAGGGGAAAGGCCUACCUAGGCAACGCUACAUAGCCGACGUGGGACGGUGAUCGGGCACACCGGGACUGAGACACGGCCCAGACUCCUACGGGAGGCAGCAGUAGCGAAGCGUCGGAAAUGGGGGGAACCCUUACCGAGCAACGCCGCGGGAGUGAAGAAGGUGUUCGGAUCGUAAAGCUCUGUUGUCAAGGAAGCGGUACUUAACCAGAAAGGGACGGCUAACUACGUGCCAGCAGCCGCGGUAAUAC